rnacentral:rRNA from 1 species
UACGUAGGGUGCGAGCAUUGUCCGGAUUCACUGGGCGUAAAGGGUGCGUAGGUGGCAUUGUAAGUCUGAUGUGAAAGCUCAGGGCUUAACCCUGAAAUGGCAUUGAAUACUGCGGUGCUGGAGGUUUGGAGGGGGGACUGGAAUUCUUGGUGUAGCAGUGAAAUGCGUAGAUAUCAAGAGGAACACCAGUGGCGAAGGCGAGUCCCUGGACAACACCUGACACUGAGGCACGAAAGCUAGGGGAGCAAACAGG